rnacentral:rRNA from 1 species
UCGAAUGGGGAGAUUCAUCGUCAGCGAUUCCGGUACGUGUGCGGCUCGCGAUGUCCGAGACUUUGGUCUCGCGGCACGCGUCCGCAUGUUUUUUAUUGCUGGAAUCGUCGGCGUGCACUUCUCCCCUAGUAGGACGUCGCGACCCGUUGGGUGUCGGUCUACGGCACGGUAGGUAGCCUGUCACGUGUGCGCUUCACGGCGUUACGCGGGGCAGACCUCCGUUCGCCCGACCGGCUGCUCGGCGGUACUCGCAAGGUAUCUGGCCGCAGACAUACGAACUGCGUCCGGCCCGUCGCAAGCGCGGCAAGUGUUUCCCGGCUGUCACGGAUCUAAUGCCGUCACCGGGCCUUGCCAGCUGUUGGUUGACGGUGUCCUAGGACUGGCUAACAAAAUUAUUAUGAUACCGGUCGGCGACGCUACUGCUUUGGGUACUUUCAGGACCCGUCUUGAAACACGGACCAAGGAGUCUAACAUGUGCGCGAGUCAUUGGGAGCUAUUAAGCCUAAAGGCGCAAUGAAAGUGARGAUCGGCCUUGCGCCGAUCGAGGGAGGAUGGGCCGCGUCACGAUGCGGUC